rnacentral:rRNA from 1 species
UACAGAGGGUGCGAGCGUUAAUCGGAAUUACUGGGCGUAAAGCGCACGUAGGCGGCGUCGUAAGUCGGGUGUGAAAGCCCCGGGCUCAACCUUGGAAGUGCAUUCGAGACUGCAUUGCUGGAGUACGGAAGAGGAGGGCGGAAUUCCCGGUGUAGAGGUGAAAUGCGUAGAUAUCGGGAGGAACACCAGUGGCGAAGGCGGCCCCCUGGGCCAGUACUGACGCUCAGGUGCGAAAGCGUGGGGAGCAAACAGG